rnacentral:rRNA from 1 species
UGUAGGCUUUGCCUGCUAUCUCUUACCCAUGUCUUUUGAGUACCUUCGUUUCCUCGGCGGGUCCGCCCGCCGAUUGGACAAUUUAAACCAUUUGCAGUUGCAAUCAGCGUCUGAAAAAACUUAAUAGUUACAACUUUCAACAACGGAUCUCUUGGUUCUGGCAUCGAUGAAGAACGCAGCGAAAUGCGAUAAGUAGUGUGAAUUGCAGAAUUCAGUGAAUCAUCGAAUCUUUGAACGCACAUUGCGCCCCUUGGUAUUCCAUGGGGCAUGCCUGUUCGAGCGUCAUUUGUACCUUCAAGCUCUGCUUGGUGUUGGGUGUUUGUCUCGCCUCUGCGCGCAGACUCGCCUCAAAACAAUUGGCAGCCGGCGUAUUGAUUUCGGAGCGCAGUACAUCUCGCGCUUUGCACUCAUAACGACGACGUCCAAAAGUACAUUUUUACACUCUUGACCUCGGAUCAGGUAGGGAUACCCGCUGAACUUAAGCAUAUCAAUAAGCGGAGGA